rnacentral:tRNA from 1 species
GGAGAUUUAGCUCAGAGGUAGAGCGCUUGCCUAGCAAGCGCAAGGCCCUGGGUUCGGUCCCCAGCUCCG